rnacentral:lncRNA from 1 species
ACUGAGGGGGGACGUGGGAAGGUCACGGUCACCCCUCAACUUUUUAUUUAUUUUUAAUUCAUAUAUAUUAAAUUACUAAAACAUUCUUAUUUUAAAUUAAAAUUAGUUUUUCUUUUUUCUUUUUCAUUCAAAGUUAGGUUUAAAUACAGAUAAGGUAAAAAGUUCUUACCUUUCCUUUCUUUCUCAUAUGGGUUUGCUAUCGGCACCGGAAUCGGAACAGAUUAAAGUGAUCGGCAUCUAACAGGUAAAAAA